UGGCUCAGAUGGUAAAGCGUCUGUCUACAAUACAGAAGACCUGGGUUUGAUCCCUG
rnacentral:tRNA from 1 species